rnacentral:rRNA from 1 species
AGAGUUUGAUCCUGGCUCAGGAUGAACGCUAGCGGAGGCCUAACACAUGCAAGCCGAGCGGUAGAGAUUCUUCGGGAUCUUGGAGAGCGGCGUACGGGUGCGGAACACGUGUGCAACCUACUUUAUCUGGAGGAUAGCCUUUCGAAAGGGAAAGAUUUAAAUACUCCCAUAAUAUAUUGAUUGGCAUCGAUUGAUAUUGAAAAGCUCCGGCGGAUAGAGAUGGGCACGCGCAAGAUUAGCUAGUUGGUGAGGUAACGGCUCACCAAGGCGAUGAUCUUUAGGGGGCCUGAGAGGGUGAUCCCCCACACUGGUACUGAGACACGGACCAGACUCCUACGGGAGGCAGCAGUGAGGAAUAUUGGUCAAUGGGUGCAAGCCUGAACCAGCCAUCCCGCGUGAAGGACGACUGCCCUAUGGGUUGUAAACUUCUUUUGUAUAGGGAUAAACCUACCCUCGUGAGGGUAGCUGAAGGUACUAUACGAAUAAGCACCGGCUAACUCCGUG